GAGUACACUUAGAUAUUCUGUACCUAAAUGUAGUAUCGGACAUUUAGAUCAAAGUGCUUUUAAAGGCAAAACCCUAUCCUGUAUCUCAUCUGGCAGUUAUAGGUGGAUAUUUUGUGCAAGCAAGCAGUUUGGCAGAAGCUAUAAUACACAAUAAACUGGAGUUUUAAUAAAACAAUAAAUAACGUUUUGCUCAAGCAGGUAGUGUAACAGAAGCCCAGAUAAAUUAGCUGGGGCAUCUUGACCUUAGUUUUUUAGAAUCAUUUAAGUAAUUUUCCACAGGUUUCUCCAUCAAAGAGAUCAAAUUAUAGUUAAAUCUGAAAUGGACUCAGCAAGAAUACAAGGUAGAGGAAACUCUGUACUAUCUUGCCCUUUUAUAGUAGGAAAGGCCUGUAUUGAGGCAGCCUAAUGAAACUCCUUAUUCAAAUAUAUUUUUCUUGCUUUCUGUUUUCUGUAAGAUCAGUUCUAGAAGUGUUUAACAAUUGCCUUGCCAUUGAAUUUUAAAAUCCUAGGAAAGUUAACACAUUGGUCCAGUUGCAUGAAUGCAAACUUGAAUUAGAAAAUGCAUUUAUUAAUUAGGGCAUACUUAACAUUUUUCUAGAUACCUUCUAAUUUGUUAGUUUGUAUAAAAUCAAUAACCAAUUACUUUGAUAUCUGUUAUGGUGUGUAGUAAUAGUUAAAUUUGAUAAUUAGUUUGUCAUAGAUUUUAAAAUAUAAUAAUAUAAUAAUUUUUAAUUUUCAUUAUUAUCAAGUUUGUCAUUUCUGUUAAUAAUUAUGCAUUAUAAAAUGGUAAAUGCAAGUAAUUAUAGGUUUCAAAUUUUAUAAGCUAUUUUUAAAGUAACAAUUCUUUAAUAGAAAAUACAUUUUACAAAUUAUAUAUACUUUCUGAUUCAUUACUUCUUGGAAUUUUGAAGGACUCAUAAUUUUUUUAAUUGAGUAUGAAGGUUCCAGUGAGUUUGAUUUAUAGUGAUAGAUGUUUUGUAAUAUUAAUGAUAUGCUUGAAAACAUUUAUCUUGGAUUUUUUGUAUGAACUUUGAAACUUUAGAUUCAAAAUUCUUUUAAUAUUGAAUGAAUGUAUUCAAUUAUCAACUAAAAAACAUGAAUGAGAUUAGUUACCAUUGUUAACAAAUGGCAGUUAAUACCCUGCAAAUAGUUUCUAUUUGAAUUUUUUAGAUACAACAAAAAAGAUAUUAACUCCCUAUAGUGUUUCAGUUAAUGGAUGUCUUUUCAUUUUUAUUAAGUUUUGCACACCCAUUAUUAAUACUGUCUUAAGGAACCAAAAAAAAAAAAAAACCAAACCAACUUUUCUUAAGACAAAAUGGUGUUAGUCAUCCAAAGUUUUAAUAAAAUUCUUACUUGUAUUUUUUUUUUUUAGACUGUAUUUAUAGAUUGUCACUUGAUGAAUCAGUCUUGUCUAAACAGGGAGAACUUGUAGUGAAAUUUCAAGUGUAUGAUUCAUUGACCUUAAUAUUAUUGUCUAUGUUUAAAUGAAUAUUUUCUAAUACUCUUUGACGCCAUGCUUACUUUUAGGAAGCUCUUCUCUAAGUCUGUUUUCGUGUGCUCUCUCCUGCCUAUUCAGAUUUUAUUAUUAUAGAAAUAUAAUAACUACGAUUAACUAAAUUACAACAUUGUAGGCUGCAAACCUCUCUGGAAAUAGGAUAUGUAUAUAGUAAGGGUUUGCUGUGGUCAUGGCAGAUAGCCUGUAGAGUUGGUGUAGCUCAGUGCUAAGUUCCAUUACUAUUAAAAUAAGACCAUAACUUAGUAUCUUUUGUUAAAUAUUAGUAAAAUAAAUUUUUCCUAUAGUAAGACAUAGUUAUGUGCAGGACUGUAGAAGCUCAUUAUUUUGGAGAAUUUUGUGGAUCAUUGACGCUAUCUAGGAAAUGUUUUAGAGCCUCAGUAUGGCCUUUCUGUUAAUCACUCUCCAAGCUGUGUACUUACUUCUAACAGUCUGUAGAGCUCUAUUGCUCAGGACUCAUCAUGAAGUCCUGUGUCAUGUGCCCUAAGUUUGCUCAGAGUACAGUUCACAGAAGGUAACUUCUAGUGAUAGGCUGUCCCCACCAGCUCAGCAAGUUCUUUCUACAACUAUCCAUGCCAUCCACCUCCACGGGAAACCCAGCAACACCUUCUGCUACUUUCCUUUCAUAAUUUUCUGAAUUUUUUUCCUUUCUUUUUUAUAACUUUGUGAGCAUGUUUGAGUGUAGAUAGUGUAUCUGUGUUUAAAUGGGUCAGUUCCUGGAAGGUGUGGACAUGGGUUGGUUCUUGGAAGCAAGAGAUCAACAUCAAAUGGCCUCUCCUAUUUUUUUCCACCUUAAUUUUUGAGACAAUAUUGCUUCACUGAACUUGGUGCUUGUUGAUUUGGCUAGACUUAGUGAGUAAGGAGGACCAGGAUCUCUGUCAUUUGAAUUGGAGUUGCAGACAUGAUAGCCAUAUUAGCUUUCUAUAAUAUUAUAUUCUAUAAUAUCUAUAAAACCUCAGGUGUUUACGUGUAUUUGCGGAAAGGGCUGUGCCCACUGCACCAUUUGAUUCUCUGCUAUUUAAAAUAUGCACUCAGAAGGCAGAGGCAGGUGGAUCUCUGAUUUCCGGGACUGCUAGUCCACGGUACCAGGACAGUCAGGGCUACACAGAGAAACCCUGUUUCAAACAACAAC
rnacentral:lncRNA from 1 species